CACCUGCAGCUCAAGUGGUAGCCGAUUUUAUUGGGCCUAAAGCGUCCGUAGCCGGGCUGGCAAGUCCUUUGUGAAAUCGGGCGGCUCAACCGUUCGGCUU
rnacentral:rRNA from 1 species